CCAAUGUCACUCCCUGCUCUUCUUGCUCCCCUGCAGGUGGAUCAGAGGGAAGGCUAAACCAUCUGCUAAGGCCACACUGGACCUUGAAAAGAUACUAAUUGUGAGGGUGAUGGCAACUGCGACACCAGCAAUGGCUGUCUCCUCACUCUGUUCCCCACUGAUCCCAGCAUUCCUCAAGGGGCCUCAGCCAUCCAGAUGGUGCCAGGCACAAAUCAACCUACAGGUGCAGACCUGCUCAGAUUAGAUGGAUUGACAGGUGAGGGGGCCAGGGUAGGAACGGCAUGAGAACA
rnacentral:lncRNA from 1 species